rnacentral:ncRNA from 1 species
UCCUGAAAAAGCCAACCCGUCGAUAUCACGGGACGGAAAGCAACGGGUCUUCAAAGAUGAGACAGCCGGGCCGCCAGG